rnacentral:rRNA from 1 species
UACGUAGGGGGCAAGCGUUGUCCGGAAUCAUUGGGCGUAAAGCGCGUGUAGGCGGCUCGCAAAGUCUGGUGUGAAAACUUGAGGCUCAACCUCAAGCUGUCAUCGGAUACUGGCGGGCUUGAGUCCGGAAGAGGAGAGUGGAAUUCCUGGUGUAGCGGUGGAAUGCGCAGAUAUCAGGAGGAACACCUAUGGCGAAGGCAGCUCUCUGGUACGUGACUGACGCUGAGACGCGAAAGCGUGGGGAGCGAACAGG